AGCGGCGGACGGGUGAGUAACGCGUGGGUAACCUGCCCUACACACACGGAUAACAUACCGAAAGGUAUGCUAAUACGAGAUGAUAUAAGAGAUUCGCAUGGAUUUCUUAUCAAAGCUGAGGCGGUAUAGGAUGGACCCGCGUCUGAUUAGCUAGUUGGUAAGGUAACGGCUUACCAAGGCGACGAUCAGUAGCCGACCUGAGAGAGUGAUCGGCCACAUUGGAACUGAGACACGGUCCAAACUCCUACGGGAGGCAGCAGUGGGGAAUAUUGCACAAUGGGCGAAAGCCUGAUGCAGCAACGCCGCGUGAGUGAUGAAGGCCUUCGGGUCGUAAAACUCUGUCCUCAAGGAAGAUAAUGACGGUACUUGAGGAGGAAGCCCCGGCUAACUACGUGCCAGCAGCCGCGGUAAUACGUAGGGGGCUAGCGUUAUCCGGAUUUACUGGGCGUAAAGGGUGCGUAGGUGGUCUCUUAAGUCAGGAGUGAAAGGCUACGGCUUAACCGUAGUAAGCUCUUGAAACUGAGAGACUUGAGUGCAGGAGAGGAAAGUGGAAUUCCUAGUGUAGCGGUGAAAUGCGUAGAUAUUAGGAGGAACACCGGUAGCGAAGGCGGCUUUCUGGACUGUAACUGACACUGAGGCACGAAAGCGUGGGGAGCAAACAGGAUUAGAUACCCUGGUAGUCCACGCCGUAAACGAUGAGUACUAGGUGU
rnacentral:rRNA from 1 species